CUCACACAAGCAGCGGAGCGUGUGGUUUAAUUCGUUGCUACACGAAGAACCUUACCUGGGUUUGACAUAUAGGUUGUAGGGAACUGAAAGGGACCGACCCUUCGGGAGCCUAUACAGGUGUUGCAUGGCUGUCGUCAGCUCGUGUCGUGAGAUGUUCGGUUAAGUCCGCUAACGAGCGCAACCCUCGUCGUAUGUUAUAUGUGUCAUACGAGACUGCCGGUAAAAGCCGGAGGAAGGUGAGGAUGAUGUCAAGUCAGCAUGACCUUUAUAUCCAGGGCUACACACACGCUACAAUGGUCUGUACAAUGGGUAGCCAAGCCGCGAGGCGGAGCCAAUCCUGAAAGCAGGCCUCAGUUCAGAUUGCAGUCUGCAACUCGACUGCAUGAAGCCGGAGUUGCUAGUAACCGCAGGUCAGCAAUACUGCGGUGAAUACGUUCCCGGGUCUU
rnacentral:rRNA from 1 species